AUGGAAUUUGAGGAGCACGAAGAGCACGAGGAGGAGAUGGAGAUGGAGAUGCAGCCGGCGCCCCCAGGUUACGACUCGGCUGGGGCGAGUUCGAGGGCCAAAAUGGGACCCGCCCUGGAGGGCACCGUCUCCACCGCAAGAAAGAGGGGGCCCACCGCCACCGCGGCAGUCACCAACACCACCACCACCCUCACCACCAUAGUCAGGUACAGAGAAUGCCUCAAGAAUCACGCCGUCAGCAUCGGUGGUCACGCCGUCGACGGCUGCUGCGAGUUCCUGGCUGCCGGGGACGAGGGAACAAUGGACGCGCUCAUAUGCGCCGCCUGCAACUGCCAUCGCAACUUCCACCGCAAGGAGCCCGAGGGCGAGCUGAUUCAUCACCAUCAGGGUGGUACUACUGGGCCCUACCACCAGAGCGGUGGGUCCCACCACCACCUCCUCCAGCACCAAUUUUCCUCGGCCUUCUAUCGCCCACCACCACCGCCAUCUGGCUACCUGAUCACCUCUCCGCACGCAAGGCCCACUCUAACCUUGCCUGCAGCAUCAGGCGGUGGCGGUGGAUCUCAUAGUAGGGACGAUGGUGAGGAUGUCUCGAACCCCAGCUCGAGCGGCGGUGGCGGUGGAGGAGGAGGAGGAGGAUUUGGGAUAAAUAAGAAGAGGCACCGGACCAAGUUCACGCAGGAGCAGAAGGAAAAGAUGCUGGAGUUUGCGGAGAAAGUUGGGUGGAGGAUUCAGAAGCAUGACGAGGCAGCGGUGGAGGAGUUUUGUGGAGAGACUGGAGUGAAGCGACAGGUUCUCAAGGUUUGGAUGCACAACAACAAGCACACCCUCG
rnacentral:lncRNA from 1 species